rnacentral:rRNA from 1 species
CCUUCACCGGGGCAUGUGCACGCCUCCUCUAUUCAUCCACACACACCUGUGAACUUGUGAGACGGAUAGUAGCUCCUUUCGGGGGGCGAGGUCCGUCUGCUAUACAUAAACUCCAAUAUAAUAAAUUCGAAUGUAAUGCUGAUGUAACGCAUCUUUAAACUAAGUUUCAACAACGGAUCUCGUUGGCUCUCGCAUCGAUGAAGAACGCAGCGAAAUGCGAUAAGUAAUGUGAAUUGCAGAAUUCAGUGAAUCAUCGAAUCUUUGAACGCACCUUGCGCUCCUUGGUAUUCCUCGGAGCAUGCCUGUUUGAGUAUCAUGAAAUCCUCAAAAUAAAUCUUUCGUUCAUUCGAUUGAUUUUAUUUUGGACUUGGAGGUCUGCAGAUUUCACAGUCUGCUCCUCUUAAAUUUAUUAGUUGGAUCUCAGUGAACUCGGUUCCACUCGGCGUGAUAAGUAUCACUCGCUGAGGACACUGUAAAAGGUGUGCCGGGGUUGCAGACGAACCGCUUCUAAUA